ACUGAUCAGUAACACGGGACAACCUACCCUUAGGACCGGGAUAACCCCGGGAAACUGGGGACAAUCCCGGAUAGGUGAAGUGGCCUGGAAUGGUGCUUCACUGAAAGGCUCUUCGGAGCGCCUAAGGAUGGGUCUGCGGCCGAUUAGGUAGUUGGUAGGGUAACGGCCUACCAAGCCGAUAAUCGGUACGGGUUGUGAGAGCAAGAGCCCGGAGAUGGAACCUGAGACAAGGUUCCAGGCCCUACGGGGUGCACCAGGCGCGAAACCUCCGCAAUGCACGCAAGUGCGACGGGGGGACCCCAAGUGCCACUCUUAACGGGGUGGCUUUUCAGGAGUGUAAAAAGCUCCUGGAAUAAGGGCUGAGCAAGACCGGUGCCAGCCGCCGCGGUAACACCGGCAGCUCGAGUGGUUGCCGCGUUUAUUGGGCCUAAAGCGUCCGUAGCCGGUCCGAUAAGUCUCUGGUGAAAGCCCACAGCUCAACUGUGGGAAUCGCUGGAGAUACUAUCGGACUUGAGGCCGGGAGAGGCUGGAGGUACUCCCAGGGUAGGGGUGAAAUCCUAUAAUCCUGGGAGGACCACCUGUGGCGAAGGCGUCCAGCUGGAACGGACCUGACGGUGAGGGACGAAAGCCAGGGGCGCGAACCGGAUUAGAUACCCGGGUAGUCCUGGCCGUAAACGAUGCGGACUUGGUGUUGGGACGGCUUUGAGCUGUCCCAGUGCCGAAGGGAGGCUGUUAAGUCCGCCGCCUGGGAAGUACGGCCGCAAGGCUGAAACUUAAAGGAAUUGGCGGGGGAGCAC
rnacentral:rRNA from 1 species